rnacentral:rRNA from 1 species
UACGUAGGGUGCGAGCGUUGUCCGGAAUUAUUGGGCGUAAAGAGCUCGUAGGCGGUGUGUCGCGUCGGCCGUGAAAACCUGGGGCUUAACUCUGGGCGUGCGGUCGAUACGGGCAUCACUGGAGUUCGGCAGGGGAGACUGGAAUUCCUGGUGUAGCGGUGAAAUGCGCAGAUAUCAGGAGGAACACCGGUGGCGAAGGCGAAUCCCUGGAAAAUACCUGACACUGAGGCACGAAAGCUAGGGGAGCAAACAGG